rnacentral:rRNA from 1 species
AAAGACCAAAGAUUUAUCGCCUUGGGAUCGGCGAUCGUCCUAUCAGGUAGUUGGCGGGGUAAUGGCCCACCAAGCCUAUGACGGGUAGCCGGUGUGAGAGCACGGCCGGCCACAUCGAAACUGAGACACUGUUCGGACUCCUACGGGAGGCUGCAGCGACGAAUCUUCCGCAAUGGGCGAAAGCCUGACGGAGCGAUGCCGCGUGCGGGAUGAAGCACCUUCGGUGUGUAAACCGCUGUCAGGGGAUAGAAACACUGAUCAUCCCCAGAGGAAGGGGCGACUAACUCUGUGCCAGCAGUCGCGGUAAUACAGAGGCCCCGAGCGUUAAUCGGAAUCACUGGGCUUAAAGGGUGCGUAGGCGGACUCGUAAGUGUCGUGUGAAAGCCCACUGCUCAACGGUGGAACCGCACGGCAAACUGCGAGUCUCGAGGAAUCUAGAGGCCGGUAGAACGCAUGGUGGAGCGGUGGAAUGCGUA